rfam:Myotis brandtii contig321514, whole genome shotgun sequence.
UCCUGCACUGGACCGGGGGUGCGGGCUGCCUGCGCCCUGGUGCUGGAUGGUGCGGGGAGAGCAGCUGCUGAGGGCAUUUCCCGUUUGGAGGGCCCACCCCUGUCUCGUCCACAACCUGAGCGUCCUCGCCUG